GACGAACGCUGGCGGCGUGCCUAAUACAUGCGAGUUGAGCGCUGAAGGUUGGUACUUGUACCAACUGGAUGAGCAGCGAACGGGUGAGUAACGCGUGGGGAAUCUGCCUUUGAGCGGGGGACAACAUUUGGAAACGAAUGCUAAUACCGCAUAAAAACUUUAAACACAAGUUUUAAGUUUGAAAGAUGCAAUUGCAUCACUCAAAGAUGAUCCCGCGUUGUAUUAGCUAGUUGGUGAGGUAAAGGCUCACCAAGGCGAUGAUACAUAGCCGACCUGAGAGGGUGAUCGGCCACAUUGGGACUGAGACACGGCCCAAACUCCUACGGGAGGCAGCAGUAGGGAAUCUUCGGCAAUCGACGAAAGUCUGACCGAGCAACGCCGCGUGAGUGAAGAAGGGUGUCGGAUCGUAAAACUCUGUUGGUAGAGAAGAACGUUGGUGAGAGUGGAAAGCUCAUCAAGUGACGGUAACUACCCAGAAAGGGACGGCUAACUACGUG
rnacentral:rRNA from 1 species